AACCCUGAUGCAGCUAUACCGUGUGUGUGAAGAAGGCCUUAGGGUUGUAAAGCACUUUCAAUGGGGAAGAAUUUAAUAUUGCUAAUAUCGAUAUUAAUUGACGUUACCUAUAUAAGAAGCACCGGCUAACUCCGAGCCAGCAGCCGCGGUAAUACGGAGGGUGCAAGCGUUAAUCGGAAUUACUGGGCGUAAAGAGUACGUAGGUGGUUUGUUAAGUCAGAUGUGAAAUCCCUGAGCUUAACUUAGGAACUGCAUUUGAAACUAAUAAACUAGAGUUUCGUAGAGGGGGGUAGAAUUCCAGGUGUAGCGGUGAAAUGCGUAGAGAUCUGGAGGAAUACCAGUGGCGAAGGCGACCCCCUGGACGGAAACUGACACUCAGGUACGAAAGCAUGGGGAGCAAACAGGAUUAGAUACCCUGGUAGUCCAUGCCGUAAACGAUGUCGAUUUGAA
rnacentral:rRNA from 1 species